UACGUAGGGUGCAAGCGUUGUCCGGAAUUAUUGGGCGUAAAGAGCUCGUAGGCGGUUUGUCGCGUCUGCUGUGAAAACUCGAGGCUCAACCUCGAGAUGUCGGCGGAAACCAUCUGGCUAGAGUCCGGAAGAGGAGAAUGGAAUUCCCGGUGUAGCGGUGAAAUGCGCAGAUAUCAGGAGGAACACCAGCGGCGAAGGCGGCGCUCUGGGCCGGUACUGACACUGAGGAGCGAAAGCGUGGGUAGCAAACAGG
rnacentral:rRNA from 1 species